rnacentral:rRNA from 1 species
GACGAAGGGGGCUAGCGUUGUUCGGAAUUACUGGGCGUAAAGCGCGUGUAGGCGGUUGUUCAAGUCAGGUGUGAAAGCCUUGAGCUCAACUCAAGAAAUGCACUUGAUACUGGAUGACUAGAGGACCGGAGAGGAUAGUGGAAUUCCCAGUGUAGUGGUGAAAUACGUAGAGAUUGGGAAGAACACCAGUGGCGAAGGCGGCUAUCUGGGACGGUUUUCUGACGCUAAAGACGCGAAAACGUGGGGGAGCAAACA